CCUACGGGAGGCAGCAGUGAGGAAUAUUGGUCAAUGGUCGGGAGACUGAACCAGCCAAGCCGCGUGAGGGAUGAAGGUACAGAGUAUCGUAAACCUCUUUUGUCAGGGAACAAAGGCGGGGACGUGUCCCCGGUUGAGUGUACCUGAAGAAAAAGCAUCGGCUAACUCCGUGCCAGCAGCCGCGGUAAUACGGAGGAUGCGAGCGUUAUCCGGAUUUAUUGGGUUUAAAGGGUGCGCGGGCGGGGUGUUAAGUCAGCGGUCAAAGGUCGGGGCUCAACCCGGGCCCGCCGUUGAAACUGGCAGUCUCGAGUUGGAGAGAAGUAUGCGGAAUGCGCGGUGUAGCGGUGAAAUGCAUAGAUAUCGCGCAGAACUCCGAUUGCGAAGGCAGCAUGCCGGCUCCACACUGACGCUGAGGCACGAAAGCGUGGGUAUCGAACAGGAUUAGAUACCCGUGUAGUC
rnacentral:rRNA from 1 species